AAGGAUCAUUGUAGAAACCUGC
rnacentral:rRNA from 2 species